CCUACGGGAGGCAGCAGUGAGGAAUAUUGGUCAAUGGACGAGAGUCUGAACCAGCCAAGUAGCGUGAAGGAAGACUGCCCUAUGGGUUGUAAACUUUUUUUAUAUGGGAAUAAAAUGUUCCACGUGUGGGAUUUUGUAUGUACCAUAUGAAUAAGGAUCGGCUAACUCCGUGACAGCAGCCGCGGUAAUACGGAGGAGCCGAGCGUUAUCCGGAUUGAUUGGGUUUAAAGGGAGCGUAGGUGGGUUGUUAAGUCAGUUGUGAAAGUUUGCGGCUUAACCGUGAAAUUGCAGUUGAAACUGGCAGUCUUGAGUGCAGUAGAGGCGGGCGGAAUUCGUGGUGUAGCGGUGAAAUGCUUAGAUAUCACGAAGAACACCAGUGGCGAAGGCAGUUCACUGGACUGCAACUGACACUGAGGCGCGAAAGUGUGGGUAUCAAACAGGAUUAGAUACCCUGGUAGUC
rnacentral:rRNA from 1 species